GACGAACGCUGGCGGCGUGCCUAAUACAUGCAAGUAGAACGCUGAAGGAGGAGCUUGCUUCUCCGGAUGAGUUGCGCACGGGUGAGUAACGCGUAGGUAACCUGCCUGGUAGCGGGGGAUAACUAUUGGAAACGCUAGCUAAUACCGCAUAAGAGUAGAUGUUGCAUGACAUUUGCUUAAAAGGUGCAAUUGCAUCACUACCAGAUGGACCUGCGUUGGAUUAGGUAGUUGGUGGGGUAACGGCUUACUAAGGCGACGAUUCUUAGUCGACCUGGGAGGGUGGAUGGCCACAAUGGGAAUGGGACACGGCCCAGGCUGCCUAGGGGAGGAAGCAGAGGGAAACCUUCGGCAUGGGGGGAAAUCUGGCCGGAGAACGCCGGGGGGGUGGAGGAAGUUUUCGGGUUCGAAAGAUCUGUUGUAAGGGAAGAAAGAGUGGGGGAGUGGAAAGUUCACACUGUGACGGUAUCUUACCAGAAAGGGACGGCUAACUACGUG
rnacentral:rRNA from 1 species